GCUGGGCACGGUGGCGCGUGCCUGUAAUCCCAGCUACUCAGGAGGCUGAGGCAGGAGAAUUGCCUGAACCCAGGAGGCGGAGGUUGCGGUGAGCCGAGAUCGCGCCAUCGCACUUCAGCCUGGGUAACAAGAGCGAAACUCUGUCUCAA
ensembl:misc_RNA Metazoa_SRP Metazoan signal recognition particle RNA